GCUCCAAUAGCGUAUAUUUAAGUUGUUGCAGUUAAAAAGCUCGUAGUUGGAUUUCGGAUGGGUUUGACCGGUCCGCCUUUGGUGUGCACUGGUCGCGCUAUCUUGCUGUCGGGGACGCGCUCCUGGCCUUAAUUGGCUGGGACGCGGAGUCGGCGAUGUUACUUUGAAAAAAUUAGAGUGUUCAAGCAGGCCUAAGCUCU
rnacentral:rRNA from 1 species